GGGACUGGGCUGUGCGGUCUCGAAGAUUUCAAAUUCUGGUGUCCCCUGGCAGUUCACCUAGGCAAAAGUCCCAGGUGGAAGGGGGAGACCCCACAGGUGAUUAUUUCCACCUGCUCUGAACUCCUGCUGGGUGUGGGGGGGGGGAUGCUCUGACCCUCAGCACCCCUUACAGGACCUCCAAGGAGACGGCCUGGCUGCUGGUAACCUGGUCUCUAACUCAGAAGAUGGGCGACUUCAUAAUUCAUCACCCAAACUGGGACACUUCUGAGAGUGAAGGGAAUGGUCUCACUAACCUGGAAUAACAGGGCCUGGUGUGGCUGCCGUGGGGGCACCACGGGUGGGGAGUCUGCCUCUUCCUCGUCCCGCCUUUAUGGAGGUAUGAUCAAGAGGAGACGCUGACAGCUGUGAGAGAAGAUCCUGAAGGCCUGAGGGAGGCCACUCUGCCCCCAACGCCCUGCCCCCAGAGGACCGCAGCGCCCGCCUCCAGCACAACCACUCCCCAGUCAGCAGCCUAGAUCAACACUGCCCAGCGCGUUCGCGCUCAGGACCCAUCUCAGCUUGCCGGGGCCUGUGCCUGCUGCUUAGUCACCCAACACCCAUGCUGGGGUGGCAUCCCUCCACCCAAAGUCUGUCCGUGGCAGGGAGUGGCCACAAGAAGGUCCCUUCCCUGGACGCAGAGGCUUACUUCAGGAUGGACUUGCAAUCGCUGAUGGGGACAUGAGAACUGGGCGGACAGUCUUCCUUCAUCUUCCCCUCUCGUCUGCAGACUCGGAAGUUACCUGCUGGGAAGAGGACGAAAGACAGACAGGUGAGCCUGGAGAAGCGCUGGCCAGUGCCGUGUCCAGAGCCCUGGUGUGCCGGCCUGUGGUUUCAACCUCACCUCCCACCUCCCAUCCUGCCCGUACCCUACUUCUUCCACUUCUGGGCACAGGGCGGCCACAGCUGAAGAACCAGGCUCAGAGGACUUAAUGGGGUCCCAAACCCUCCCGGGGCAGCCAAGCUCCCCUGGAGGGUGGGGGGAAUGGUCAGAAUUGCUGAGCUAGCUGGCUCCCAGGACCAGCCCUAUCAGCCCCUCUCCCAGAAUCUCUCCAUAAUCCCAAGGGAUCUGGAUCAGUCUCAUAAAUGUUUCAGACCACAGGCUCUCUUCCCUCAGCCGGGACACCCUGAAGGAUGGUUUCUACUGCCAUUGCCCCUCCAAACCCCAAAGCGCCCUGGGCCUUUCUCCUCCAUUACCAUUGAGCCCAGGCUGGUGGCCCCAUCACUGCCUCUGGAGCCAGCACACCUGGCCCAGCUCUCCUAGUGAUGGGUUAAUCGGUACUGUGGUCACUACAUGCGGGAGACUGUGUUGAGCAUUUCUAUGAAUUAUCUUAUUGACUCCUUACAACAACAAUAUGAGGCUUUCCCUGCCUUCCCAAGCCUCCCGCAGAUCUAUGUCACCUCGCCACCCACCCACACUUCACAUACCUCGCCACCUUCUACUUGGGCUCUGCUCCUGGCGGAUGCUGACAAUGUGGGGCUGCCAGAAACUCAAUGGUCAUGAGUGGACAUCAUAAUGGCCACAAGUUGCUAACAUCUCAGAAAUAAGGUAAAAUAACUAUGGCAAUGCAAGAUGUCUGAAUGUAUUAAUUGUCAAUGCAACUCAAAUUUCAACAACAGGAAAUGACUCUUCACGCUCUUCAGUAUUUCGAUUCAUUUAAGAAAUGGCAAGACUGUUGGCUGGACACGGCCUGAAACAGUACAAGGGCAGGAGGGUUUAUGGAAGGACAGUUUCUCAAAGUAUAACGUCUUACGUAAGGAUUUCCCUCUACAGAGAGUUUGGUGUUGCUUGGGAACCAGAAUUCCUAUGAACAGCCAGAUACCGACUGAGAUCCAAGGCGGCAAAAUAAUAAACGAUUAAGACCUUCCCUCAAGCCAGGAUAUUAAACAGCCAAAGGAGGUGGAGGCUUUCCAGAUGGAAAAGAAAGGAACCUUGAGAGAGAGAGAGAGAGAGAGCGAGAGCACAGAGCAUUUGCGCAAACAAGGGCCAUUUGUCCAGUUCCUGGGCUUUGUAUUUCAAAGAACAUCAGCCUCAGGGCACUCUGGGGAGACUCCCCAGCCGAAGAAUGUUGCUGCUGCUGUGUUCUGGAAGGAAGGACAGCCCUCUAGCUCUUCUCCCAAGCAUGCAGUUUCUAAGGAAUGUGAAACAUCCUCAACGGGAAAGGGGUGCGCGGGCCAGACUUGACCCGUUAACCUUGUGUUUAAAAAGAUGUUUCAGCGGGGUUGGCCUCACCUCUGAACCUGCCCUCAGGGCCACCUCUGUUUAGUUCUUGGUGUGCCAGUGCUAGCUUUCCCAAGUUCCCUUCCCAGCCUCUGGAACUGUGAACUCGAGAUCUGUGUGCCUAAGGCAGGGUUGUGCCCUAUUAUAAACGUCUUUUUUUGUGUGUCCAUUGGGGAAUCAUCUCUGGCAUCUCACGCUGGAAACCCCCUCUCGGCAUAAUAAACAGGAUGUCGACCUUACAGCUGGGACAGAAUUAGAGUGAUCAGUGUAUUUGUCACAGUUCUCCAGAGAAAUUGAUAGCCAGAUAGAUAGAUAGAUAUGAGAGAGAGAGAGAAAGAGAGAUAUUGAGAUUUAUUUUGGGGAAGUGGCUCACGUAAUUGUGGGGGCUGACAGGUCCAAAAUCUCUUGGGCAGGCCGGCAAGCUGGAGACUCAGAUAAGAUUUGAUACUGCAGUCUGGAGUCUAGAAUCUGCAGGCCAGCACACCGGAAGCGCAGACAGGGGUUCUCCGUUACAAUCUUGAGGCAGAAUUGCUUCUUCUUGGGAAACCUCUGUCUUUCCUGGAAGGCCUCCAACGGACUGGGUGAGCCCAUCCCAUUCUGGAAGAAGGUAAUCUGUUUUACUGGAAGUCUACUGAUUUAAAUGUUAAUCACAUCUCAGCAAACACCUUCACAGCAGCAUUUAGACUGGUAUUUGACCGUGUAAUGGGGUGCCAUGGCUUAGCCAAGUGGACACAGAAAACUAACCAUCACGAUCAGUGAGUUUGGCCAACAGUUUAUACUCCAUCUUGUCCUUCUCAGGACAGACUCUGUGGCAGAUACUCGGCAUUCGAAGACUCUUCAGCAUGUAACAUGCCUUCUUUCCCAGGGAUUUCAUGUUUUAAUGUACCUAUGUAAUCUGUGGCAAUUUUUGAGGAAAUUUGCUUCUCUAUUGGCCAAAUGAGUCCAAAUUAGAAGUUGGCAAACAUUUUCAGUAAAGGGCCAGAGAGUAUCUAUUUUCAUAUUUGUAGACGAUACCAUUUCUCUUGCCACAACUCAAGCCAUAGAUAAUCUGAAAUGAAUGGUGUGAUUGUGUUCCA